rnacentral:lncRNA from 1 species
ACCAGGCUGCAUUGACAGAGCAAGUUGGAUGAUACCAUCAGGGGCUCUUGCACUCUCCAUUUGAAUAUUGCAUAAUUAAUAGUGCUCUGCUUCUAAGGAUUUGAAUGGAGUCUUAGGGUCAUCUUGUCCUGUUGGAAUUUGCUAUGCAGAGCCUUAAACUUCCCAUUUUGUUAGGAUCAGCUAGGCCAGUAGGAAUGGACCAGGACCUUGUCUCACACUGAUGAUACCUCAGAUGUUGGCUGGCUAUGUGAACUGCCUAUUUCCUGUGCCGAGCUGUUUUUGAUUUUUAAAUAAAUGAAAAUCUGUAGAUUCUCUCCUCCCCUGUCCCAAAAAACAAAGCAAAAUAAUGCUUUUUGAAAUUGUCUCUAGGAUUUUAAAGUGAAAAAAUGAUGGU